CCCUUAGAUGUUCUGGGCCGCACGCGUGCUACACUGAUGCAUUCAACGAGUCUAAAACCUGCUCUGAUAGGGGUGGGUAAUCUUUUGAAUGUGCAUCGUGAUUGGGAUAGAUGAUUGCAAUUUUUCAUCUUCAACGAGGAAUGCCUAGUAAACGCAAGUCAUCAGCUUGCAUUGAUUACGUCCCUGCCCUUUGUACACACCGCCCGUCGCUCCUACCGAUUGAAUGAUCCGAUGAAUAUCAUAGACUGAGAGUAUAAGCAGGUUCGCCUGUCUUCGCUUCUCGGGAAGUGAAGUAAAUCUUAUCAUUUAGAGGAAGGAGAAGUCGUAACA
rnacentral:rRNA from 1 species